rnacentral:lncRNA from 1 species
UUACCUGUGUAUCAGAUCCAAGCUGAGUUCCAUAAGUUACCUGUGUAUCAGAACUAAGCUGAGUCCCAACCAUAUCCUUCUUCCCAGAUCCAUCACCACCCCGGGCAGAUCCCUUGGCGUCACCCUGAAAAUUCAUGACAGCUAUCACCACAUGGAUAACUAAACGAAGUUAAAAGGAGCAGUAGAUGAUGUGAAGUAAAAUGCUGAUAUACAUACCUCCAACUGUAACAUCAUAGCCAUUCCACGAAAUGAUCAAACAAAAAACAAAAAAGAGUGUUAAUAGUCAGGUUGAAGCCAAUCACUCGUUUAAAACUUCAAAGUUGAAUAAAUGCGAAUUUCUGAAUAGCAACCAAAGAGAGGUCAAAUGAACUAGUGAAACACAGAACAAACAAGUUGAUUCCUUUUCCUUUUUUUUCCUUAACUUUACCAGGCCUAACAGCGAACAAAUGCGGUAACAGUAAUGGCUCAAAUUUCAGGAGGAAAAAAAAGGACAUGAGAGAUUUGCAACUACCUCUCUGUACCUAGCCAAAUAGGCCUUGAGUGGAGCAAUGUAAUCUUCAAAACCUAAAGUUGCCAUUGCCCAGAGCAAAUCAUCCCCAUUAACAGUUUUCCUUUUCUCUUUUUGACACUUGUCGCUUGCUCUACACA